AUUGAACGCUGGCGGCAGGCCUAACACAUGCAAGUCGAACGAUAGCACAGAGAGCUUGCUCUCGGGUGACGAGUGGCGGACGGGUGAGUAACGUCUGGGAAACUGCCCGAUGGAGGGGGAUAACUACUGGAAACGGUAGCUAAUACCGCAUAACGUCGCAAGACCAAAGUGGGGGACCUUCGGGCCUCACACCAUCGGAUGUGCCCAGGUGGGAUGAGCUAGUAGGUGGGGUAAUGGCUCACCUAGGCGACGGUCCCUAGCAGGUCUGAGAGGAUGACCGGCCACACUGGAACUGAGACACGGUCCAAACUCCUACGGGAGGCAGCAGUGGGGAAUAUUGCACAAUGGGCGCAAGCCUGAUGCAGCCAUGACGCGUGUAUGAAGAAGGCCUUCGGGUUGUAAAGUACUUUCAGCGGGGAGGAAGGCGGUGAAGUUAAUAGCUUCACCGAUUGACGUUACCCGCAGAAGAAGCACCGGCUAACUCCGUGCCAGCCGCCGCAGUAA
rnacentral:rRNA from 1 species